rnacentral:lncRNA from 10 species
AGCAGAAACCGGCCAUUUUCACUUCUUUUGUGAUUCUUCACUUGCUUCGGGCCAUCUCGACAUAUACAUGCAGGUCACAGGGGAUAUGAUAGCUUAGCUUGGGCUCAGAGGCCUGACACUGUUGAUAGUUUAUUUUGCUCUGCAGACGUUCUUUAACUUCAUUAGGCAAUACUUGUCAAUUUUUGUUUUUGCUGCAAUUGCUUUUGGCUACUAAGCCAAAAAUUAUUUGCCAAGGCUGAUAUCGGGAGGGUAUGUCCUAGGUUUCCUUAUAGGACAUUUACAGUUCGAAGUCUUACAUUUACAUCUUUAAUCCAUCAUCAGUUAAUUUUUGUAUAUGGUGAAAUGUAAGGGUCCAGUUUUAUUCUUCUACAUAUGACUAGCCAAUUAUCCCAGCAUGAUUUACUAAAUGGGGAGUCCUUUCCUCAUUGCUUUUGUUGGCCUUGUCGAAGAUCAGAGGAUUAUGGAGUCUUGCUCUGUCGCCCAGCCAGGCUGAAGUGCAGUGGUGCAAUCUUGGCUCACUUCAAACUCCGCCUCCCAGGUUCAAGUGAUUCUCCUGCCUCAGUCUCCUGAGUGGCUGGGACCACAGGUGCACACCACCACGCCCGGCUAAUUUUUUUGUGUUUUUAGUAGAGACAGGGUUUCAUGGUGUUAGCCAGUAUGGUCUCGAGCUCUUGACCUCAUGAUUCGUCUGCCUUGGCCUCCCAAAGUGCUGGGAUUACAGGCAUGAGCCACCAUGUCUGGCCAAACAUUUCAAUACAUUUGGACCUUUUGAGAUUACUGUUGUUCCAAACUCUCACCAAAAGGCUCAAAGAGGGAGGCCUAAAACAAAUGGAUAGUAAGUAGUGGAAUCAGAAUUUGAGACCAUGACUAGUUGAUUACAGAGCCUAUGAAUUCUUAUUACCUUGGCAACUUGCCCUUUCUACUCCCAUGGCCUGGCACUAUAGCUGACUCUGGAAGUUCUCAACUCACCUUUAACAGACAAAUACAUAAACGAACACUAUGCUUCAUGGUAUUGUGUUUUAUACAAAAACAAUGAAGGUAGAUUUCUGUCCUCCAGAGUUUUAUAGUUUACAACACAAAUAACCAUAACACAAAACACUCCACAUAGUGUGAGAGAAGUAAGAAUAAAGUUGAUGUCACGUAAGGUAAAAUGUAACAUAUGUUGUAAGGAAUGAAGAAGCAUCUACAAAGAUGUCAUGGAAGUACUGGAAUAAUCAUUUGCAAAUUAGGUAGGAUUUCACUAUAUAAAAAUGGAGAAGUUGAGGAGAUAAGGGUUAGGUAUGGAAUGCAUUUGAACAGGCAUAUUCCUACAGGGCAUCGCCAACAUGGGAAAUAAGUAGUAAUAUGUCUUGAAAUCUUACUGAGAAAUUUGACUAUUUUGUGAACAUGGUCCUAUAUACACCACUUAGUUUUGGUGAUGUGAUGGGAAUUUAGUGAAACCUUCGUAUGGGUUAUUUUGUAUGAACUGGCCAUGAAGGUGGCUCUUUUCUUACAUUUUAACAUGGAAGAGAGAAGAAGCAUAUGGCAGCCCAGAAAUGCUGGACAUCAGGGACUUUUUGCUUCUGUGAAUACUGUGAGUGUAUCUGGAAUAAAUUACAGUGACUCUAAUAAAAUGAAAUGUUGAAUCACUU